UACGAAGGGGGCUAGCGUUGUUCGGAAUUACUGGGCGUAAAGCGCGCGCAGGCGGCUAUCCAAGUCAGUGGUGAAAGCCCGGAGCUCAACUCCGGAACUGCCAUUGAAACUGUUUAGCUUGAGGACGAGAGAGGUGAGUGGAAUUCCCAGUGUAGAGGUGAAAUUCGUAGAUAUUCGCAAGAACACCAGUGGCGAAGGCGGCUCACUGGCCCGAUACUGACGCUGAGGUGCGAAAGCGUGGGGAGCAAACAGG
rnacentral:rRNA from 1 species